rnacentral:rRNA from 1 species
GAUGAACGCUGGCGGCGUGCCUAAUACAUGCAAGUCGAGCGAACAGACGCGGAGCUUGCUCCUCUGUCGUUAGCGGCGGACGGGUGAGUCACACGUGGAUAACCUACCUAUCAGACUGGGAUAACUUCGGGAAACCGGCUCUAAUCCCGGAUAAUCUAUUGCACCGCAUGGUUCAAUAGUGAAAUACGGUUUUUCUGUCACUUCUAGCUGGAUCCGCGCCGCAUUAGAUAGUUGGUAAGUUAACGGCUUACCAAGGGAACGAUGCGUAGCCGACCUGAGAGGGGGAUAGGCGACAUGGGAACGGAGACACGGACAAGACGCCUAAGAGAGGCAGCAGUAGGGAAUCGUACGCAAUGGGCGAAAGCCUGACGGAGCAACGGCGCGUGAGUGAUGAAGGUGUUCGGAGCGUAAAACUCGGUUAUGAGGGAAGAACAAAUGUGUAAGGAAAUAUGCACGUCGUGACGGUACCGAAUCAGAAAGCCACGGCUAACUACGUG